rnacentral:rRNA from 1 species
GAUGAACGCUGGCGGCGUGCCUAAUACAUGCAAGUCGAGCGAACGGACGAGAAGCUUGCUUCUCUGAUGUUAGCGGCGGACGGGUGAGUAACACGUGGAUAACCUACCUAUAAGACUGGGAUAACUUCGGGAAACCGGAGCUAAUACCGGAUAAUAUUUUGAACCGCAUGGUUCAAAAGUGAAAGACGGUCUUGCUGUCACUUAUAGAUGGAUCCGCGCUGCAUUAGCUAGUUGGUAAGGUAACGGCUUACCAAGGCAACGAUGCAUAGCCGACCUGAGAGGGUGAUCGGCCACACUGGAACUGAGACACGGUCCAGACUCCCACGGGAGGCAGCAGUAGGGAAUCUUCCGCAAAGGGCGAAAGCCUGACGGAGCAACGCCGCGUGAGUGAUGAAGGUCUUCGGAUCGUAAAACUCUGUUAUUAGGGAAGAACAUAUGUGUAAGUAACUGUGCACAUCUUGACGGUACCUAAUCAGAAAGCCACGGCUAACUACGUG